rnacentral:rRNA from 1 species
UACGUAGGGUGCAAGCGUUGUCCGGAAUUAUUGGGCGUAAAGAGCUCGUAGGUGGUUUGUCGCGUUGUCCGUGAAAACUCACAACUCAAUUGUGGGCGUGCGGGCGAUACGGGCAGACUGGAGUACUGCAGGGGAGACUGGAAUUCCUGGUGUAGCGGUGAAAUGCGCAGAUAUCAGGAGGAACACCGGUGGCGAAGGCGGGUCUCUGGGCCGUAACUGACGCUGAGGAGCGAAAGCAUGGGGAGCGAACAGG